GAUUCAGCGCCGAGCCGAGCAGGAACUGGUGCCGUGGGCCCGGCCCCGGCAUGAAGAUCCUGCCGGCCCCACCCGCAUCGCAAGAACCAGAACCCGGCGUGACGUGGCAGCGUGAGGUAGUACGGUCCGUGCACUGCCGCGUACGGUGCGAAGCUGCCGCGCGCCCACCUGAGGCCGGGGAUAGCGAUCGAUCCCAUCGUGGC
rnacentral:lncRNA from 1 species